rnacentral:lncRNA from 1 species
CACUUAUAAACUAUUACUUUGUCUAAGAAUUCUGGACUGUACAGAAAAUAUGCAUAGCUGUUCUGGACUGGACUGGACUUGGUUUAUUCUGGAGUAGUCUCAGCCUAAUCUACUGUGGGCACAAGAAUUCCUUGUAUCGUUGGAACAGUGUUCAAGACUAAGGCUAAGACUAAAGGAAAGAAAAACAUAAUACAAAUUUCUAACAAAAAUCUGCUUUGGAACAGAUUUUUAAAAUCUAGCAGACAUCAAAAACUGAAAAAAAAAUUACAGAAUAUCUGGGGAAGCAGAUUAUGGGAUCAUCUAAAACACACAUGAUAAAAAUCUGCCUUGGAACAGAAUUCAAAAUUACCUUAAGAAAAUACAUAGUAGU